UCUGAAUGAGACAACCUUUAUUUGCUUAAUUCUCGCCAGCUUAUGACUCAUUUAGACUCAUUGCGAGUCGUUUACACCUCCCUCACAGCAGAGGGCGCUAGUGAGCACAGAGAAUGUGACACCGCGGCUAAAGAAUAAUGGAAUUGGUGGUAGCAAGUCAAGUGCAGCAAUCCAGCUUUCCUUUAAUGUCGUCAAGUAUACUUUUCUAAAUGAAUGAUUAAUUGUGUAAACUCAGACAAUUGUUUAGACGUACCAGUGGCAGAGAUCUUCAUUGAGGCAGAGAGAGUUUAGAAAACUGAAGAAAGAAAAUGAAGACUUCCUCAAACAGGGUAUGUAAAUUUAUGAACACAACAGCAGCUGAGGCCGAUGAUGGAUUUGAUCAGUUGAACAUCAAAGAUUUCUGCUUCCAGAGAUGACUGCAAACAAAAGAGCCCCCCCUCUGAGGUUACACAGACAGCACUCCUGAGGACAGAGACAGAUGAGGGGGUCACCAUGGGUGGCAAACACUUCCUAAACAGACCUGCAUCAUGUUGGUGAGUUAGCUUUUCUGUCAGUUGUGGUGUAUCAAGACAGGUCAGAAUCUUCCCUCACUUAUAGAAUUCCCUUUGAUGAUUUUUUUUCUUCAGUGCAAUUUAGCAUUUUUUUUUUUUUAACAGAGGAUACUUCUGCGUCCUUAUUGGUUGUGGGCCUUGUCAAUCAAUCUCUUCUGUGACAGAUCUCCUGUACAUAUGCGCUUAAGUAACUAAUCAUGUGACCAAUCACGAUUAAUCGUGAACAAUCACGAUUAAUCACCAAAAUCGCAAUUAAUCGUGAUUGCAAAUGAUUCAUCACGGUUAAUCGUGAACAAUCGCAAUUGGUUGCGAUUAAUCCUAAACAAUCAUGAUUAAUCGUAAUCACAAUUAAACAUAAUUAAUCGUGGCCAAUCACAGUUAAUCGUGAACAAUCACGAUUAAUCCUGAACAAUCGCAAUUGGUCACGAUUAAUCCUAAACAAUCAUGGUUAAUCGUGAUUAAUCGUAACCACAACUAAACAUAAUUAAUCGUGGCCAAUCACAGUUAAUCGUGAAUAAUCGUGAACAAUCACGAUUAAUCGUGAUUAAUUGUGAACAUUACAAUUAACCGUGUUAAUCUUGAUUGAUUUGUAAUUGUUCAAGAUUAAUCAUGAUGAAUUGUAAAAAAAUCACAAUUAAUUGUGAUUAAUCGUAAAAAAUUGUAAUUGUAAUUGUAAUUGUUGAGGAUUAAUCUUAAAAAAAUCACGAUAAAUCCCGAUUGGUCACUAUUAAUUGUGAUCAAUUAAUCGUGAUCAAUCAUGAUUAAUCGCUACAGGUCAUGAUUAAUUGUAAUUGUUCAUGAUUAAUCACAAUCCAAAAGUGUGAUUAAUCUGGUUAAUUUUGUAAUCGAUUGACAGGAUUAAUCCAGUCUUCUAUUUUUUUCGACAAAACAUGGUCUAAAAGAUCAGAAAGGCUGAGCUGAACUCUCACAAAGGUAAAAAUGUGUCUUACAGCUGUGAAGCUUCCCUGCGUGCAGCGAUCACACAACCACUGUUCAUGAAUGGCAUCUGCCGCCACACCGUAGCAGCCUAAAGAAAGCAGAGACGGAGGUUAGUCAGAAAGAAAAAUAUUUUUCUCAAAUACAAGAGGUGAUGUGAGGUGUGUGUGGCCAGAUCUAUAGAAUUUAAGGCAAAAAAAAAA